GGCGGAUUUCAUAGGUAUCUGUGGAGUGCAGAAGAUUCGAAACAGCAGUAGCGACGGUGGAGGUCCAGCAGGAUAGGACUGGACAAUUGAUCUUAGAUCAUAUUUAUCUUUUGCAGGGGCACCAGAAGAAGUCACGACUCAGGUGGAGCACCGGCCAGAGGUGCCUCUAUGAUGGAGGAUGUUUUGGCACAGGUUCAAAGCUAAGGGAUGCAAGGAUAGGUGUCAGAUUCUAGCA
rnacentral:lncRNA from 1 species